rnacentral:rRNA from 1 species
GGGUUUGAUUAUGGCUCAGAUUGAACGCUGGCGGAAUGCUUUACACAUGCAAGUCGAACGGUAACAGGUCUUCGGACGCUGACGAGUGGCGAACGGGUGAGUAAUAUAUCGGAACGUGCCCAGUCGUGGGGGAUAACGUAGCGAAAGUUACGCUAAUACCGCAUACGAUCUAUGGAUGAAAGCGGGGGAUCGCAAGACCUCGCGCGAUUGGAGCGGCCGAUAUCAGAUUAGGUAGUUGGUGGGGUAAAGGCUCACCAAGCCAACGAUCUGUAGCUGGUCUGAGAGGACGACCAGCCACACUGGAACUGAGACACGGUCCAGACUCCUACGGGAGGCAGCAGUGGGGAAUUUUGGACAAUGGACGCAAGUCUGAUCCAGCCAUUCCGCGUGCAGGAUGAAGGCCCUCGGGUUGUAAACUGCUUUUGUACGGAACGAAAAGGUUUCCAUUAAUACUGGGAGCUCAUGACGGUACCGUAAGAAUAAGCACCGGCUAACUACGUGCCAGCAGCCGCGGUAAUACGUAGGGUGCAAGCGUUAAUCGGAAUUACUGGGCGUAAAGCGUGCGCAGGCGGUUAUAUAAGACAGA